UCCUUAUUGAGAGAGGCGGAGGGAAUAGGCCCUGCGAUGCCCGGCAACCUGGAGGGAUUUUGGAAAAACUGAUUUAGAUGUUUUCAAGAUUCUAUACAAGGUGCUACAUCCUACAGAAGCUAAUUCUGAAAGAUGAGGA
rfam:Eubacterium nodatum ATCC 33099 contig00004, whole genome shotgun sequence.